rnacentral:rRNA from 1 species
CCUACGGGUGGCAGCAGUGAGGAAUAUUGGUCAAUGGGCGCGAGCCUGAACCAGCCAAGUCGCGUGAAGGAUGACGGUCCUAUGGAUUGUAAACUUCUUUUGUGCAGGAAUAAAGUGAGGAACGUGUUCCUUUUUGUAUGUACUGUACGAAUAAGCAUCGGCUAACUCCGUGCCAGCAGCCGCGGUAAUACGGAGGAUGCGAGCGUUAGCCGGUUUUAUGGGGGCGUAGGCGGGCUUAGACGUCCUGGGUGAAAGUUUGCAGCUUAACUGUAAAAUUGCCAUUGAAACUGUUAGUCUUGAGUGCAAAUGAGGUAGGCGGAAUGUGUUGUGUAGCGGUGAAAUGCUUAGAUAUAACACAGAACUCCGAUUGCGAAGGCAGCUUACUGGGAUGCAACUGACGCUGAUGCACGAAAGCGUGGGUAUCAAACAGGAUUAGAUACCCCUGUAGUC